GAUGAACGCUGGCGGCGUGCCUAAUACAUGCAAGUCGAGCGAACGGACGAGAAGCUUGCUUCUCUGAUGUUAGCGGCGGACGGGUGAGUAACACGUGGAUAACCUACCUAUAAGACUGGGAUAACUUCGGGAAACCGGAGCUAAUACCGGAUAAUAUUUUGAACCGCAUGGUUCAAAAGUGAAAGACGGUCUUGCUGUCACUUAUAGAUGGAUCCGCGCUGCAUUAGCUAGUUGGUAAGGUAACGGCUUACCAAGGCAACGAUGCAUAGCCGACCUGAGAGGGUGAUCGGCCACACUGAAACUGAGACACAGUCCAAACUCCUACGGGAGGAAGCAGUAGGGAAUCUUCCGCAAAGGGCGAAAGCGUGACGGAACGACGCCGCGUGAGUGAUGAAGGUCUUCGGAUCGUAGAACUCUGUUAUUAGGGAAAAACAUAUGUGUAAGUAACUGUGCACAUCUUGACGGUACCUGAAGAGAAAGCCACGGCUAACUACGUA
rnacentral:rRNA from 1 species